rnacentral:rRNA from 1 species
CAGUCGCCGCGGUAAUACGUAGGUGGCAAGCGUUGUCCGGAAUUAUUGGGCGUAAAGGGCUCGCAGGCGGUUUCUUAAGUCUGAUGUGAAAGCCCCCGGCUCAACCGGGGAGGGUCAUCGGAAACUGGGAAACUUGAGUGCAGAAGAGGAGAGUGGAAUUCCACGUGUAGCGGUGAAAUGCGUAGAUAUCAGAAGGAACACCCAUGGCGAAGGCAGUUCGCUGGCCUGUAACUGACGCUGUGGUGCGAAAGCGUGGGGAGCAAACAGGAUUAGAUACCCCCGUAGUCCCUGUCUCUUAUAC